UUUUUAGACCAGGGUAUCCUUUGUAUAACGGAGACGAAGUUGAGAGGUAUUUUUACACUACGAAAACGGAGUUAAGGUAUAUUUUUACACUACGGAGACGGGGUUGAGGGGUAGCCCGUGCCACCCCUUAUAAGCUUCUAAGUCCGCCCCUGCAGAUGAUUAUAUUAGUCUUUGCUCAUCAAAAUGUUUGGAAGGGAACCUUGAAGUUCCUAGGAGUUGGCCGGCAUCGAAGGAAAUUACCAGAUUUAGUUAUUUAAGCAACUGUGAAGAUGAACAAGAUUUUCGUGUUGCUGCCUGAAUUUUU
rnacentral:lncRNA from 1 species